UACGAAGGGGGCUAGCGUUGUUCGGAAUUACUGGGCGUAAAGCGCACGUAGGCGGACUAUUAAGUCAGGGGUGAAAUCCCGGGGCUCAACCCCGGAACUGCCUUUGAUACUGGUAGUCUCGAGUCCGGAAGAGGUGAGUGGAAUUCCGAGUGUAGAGGUGAAAUUCGUAGAUAUUCGGAGGAACACCAGUGGCGAAGGCGGCUCACUGGUCCGGUACUGACGUUGAGGUGCGAAAGCGUGGGGAGCAAACAGG
rnacentral:rRNA from 1 species